UACGGAGGGUGCAAGCGUUAUCCGGAUUCACUGGGUUUAAAGGGUGCGUAGGUGGGCAGGUAAGUCAGUGGUGAAAUCUCUGGGCUUAACCCGGAAACUGCCGUUGAUACUAUCUGUCUUGAAUAUAGUGGAGGUGAGCGGAAUAUGUCAUGUAGCGGUGAAAUGCUUAGAUAUGACAUAGAACACCCAUUGCGAAGGCAGCUCGCUACACUAUUAUUGACACUGAGGCACGAAAAGCGUGGGGGAUCAAACAGG
rnacentral:rRNA from 1 species